UCCCAAUACGCAAUUUUAGCCGAAUCGUGACGCAAAACACGGCUUGUCUCGAAUCCCGCUAAAAUAAGGGUGUCUAUCCCGAAUCCCGACAGUUAUUUUCGGCCCAUCCCAGUGUCCCGAAAAUACCCGUUCUCCCCCUCAUACAUAGUAGACCAUAUUGUCACAUUGAUGUUUUCUUUCAUUACAGUUAGACUUCGAGAUCUACAUUUUCGACAAAGGCCUGGUGUAACAUUAUUACGUACUUGAUGAAGGUUUAAUGACACGAAUGAGUACAAGUACAUUACAUUUUUCGACGAAGGCCUUCUGUAAUUUCAUACGCUUCUUACGCAACAUUCAAUAGAUUUAUUUACUGUAUUAUCAUUUCGACCAAGGCGAAUUCGACACUUCAAUUACACAAGGUUAGUAACUUUUGUUCACAAAAUCCAAAUGGAGGCAAAUACAGAACAAUCAAACUUAGUCAUUCCAGUCAGUUACUGAAGCACAGUGAAAACUGUCGGGAGCAGUGCAACUGAUGGCAUGUCAAACUUCCAGUGACUGUCCCUGUCCAUAUAUUUCAAGACAGUACAAAUCUUGUAAUCAUUUUGUUUAUGCAAUGUACGUUAUUAUGUAUCAUUUCAGCACAAUCAAACUUAGUCAUUCCAGUCAGUUACUGAAGCACAGCGAAAACUGUCUGAAUUAGUGCUGCUGAUGGCAUGUAAUUACUCUACUACCACUACCAGUGACAGUCAAUGUCCAUAUAUUUUCAAGUGUGCGAAAUUAGUACUCGUCUACUUCUUAGUGUUAUUUGAAUGCAAUGUAUGUUAUAAAAAUAUUUUUUCAACACUAUAUCAACAUUCUCAUUCCUGUCAGUUUCUGAAAAUCAGCUAAAGCAAUCGCUACCAAUGCAGCUGAUAACAGCAAUUCUUUUUGUUCCCAAUGCCCAUCCAUGACAAUAUAUUUCACGCAUGUGACAAUCAUGGUAUCAUCCUGUUUUUUGUGUUCUAUUCAUGCAAUAAAUAAAUUCAGUAUUU